rnacentral:rRNA from 1 species
CCUACGGGGAGCAGCAGUCGAGAAUCAUUCACAAUGGGGGAAACCCUGAUGGUGCGACGCCGCGUGGGGGAAUGAAGGUCUUCGGAUUGUAAACCCCUGUCAUGUGGGAGCAAAUUAAAAAGAUAGUACCACAAGAGGAAGAGACGGCUAACUCUGUGCCAGCAGCCGCGGUAAUACAGAGGUCUCAAGCGUUGUUCGGAAUCACUGGGCGUAAAGCGUGCGUAGGCUGUUUCGUAAGUCGUGUGUGAAAGGCGCGGGCUCAACCCGCGGACGGCACAUGAUACUGCGAGACUAGAGUAAUGGAGGGGGAACCGGAAUGCUCGGUGUAGCAGGGAAAUGCGGAGAUAUCGAGAGGAACACUCGUGGCGAAGGCGGGUUCCUGGACAUUAACUGACGCUGAGGCACGAAGGCCAGGGGAGCGAAAGGGAUUAGAUACCCGAGUAGUC